rnacentral:rRNA from 1 species
GAUGAACGCUGGCGGCAGGCUUAACACAUGCAAGUCGAGCGAGCGGCGGACGGGUGAGUAAUGUCUGGGAAACUGCCUGAUGGAGGGGGAUAACUAAUGGAAACGGUAGCUAAUACCGCAAACAAUCCGAUGUGCCCAUAGGGGAUUAGCUAGUAGGUGGGGUAAUGGCUCACCUAGGCUACGAUCCCUAGCUGGUCUGAGAGGAUGACCAGCCACACUGGAACUUAGACACGGUCCAUACUCCGCCGGGAGUCAGCAUUGGGGAAUAUUGCACAAUGGGCGCGAGCCUGCUGCAGCCAUGCCGCGUGUGUGAAGAAGGCCUUCGGGUUGUAAAGCACUUUCAGCGAGGAGGCGUUACUCGCAGAAGAAGCACCGGCUAACUACGUGCCAGCAGCCGCGGUAAUUC